ensembl:rRNA 5S_rRNA 5S ribosomal RNA
GCUUACGUCCACACCGCCUGGUUCACGCCUGAUCUCGUUUGAUCUCGGAAGCUAAGAAAGGUUGGGCCUGGUUAGUACUUGGAUGGGAGACCGCCUGGGAAUACCAGGCGCUGUAAGCU